rnacentral:rRNA from 1 species
GACGAACGCUGGCGGCGUGCUUAACACAUGCAAGUCGAACGGAAAGGCCCUGCUUUUGUGGGGUGCUCGAGUGGCGAACGGGUGAGUAACACGUGAGUAACCUGCCCUUGACUUUGGGAUAACUUCAGGAAACUGGGGCUAAUACCGGAUAGGAGCUCCUGCUGCAUGGUGGGGGUUGGAAAGUUUCGGCGGUUGGGGAUGGACUCGCGGCUUAUCAGCUUGUUGGUGGGGUAGUGGCUUACCAAGGCUUUGACGGGUAGCCGGCCUGAGAGGGGGACCGGCCACAUUGGGACUGAGAUACGGCCCAGACUCCUACGGGAGGCAGCGGUGGGGAAUAUUGCACAAUGGGCGGAAGCCUGAUGCAGCAACGCCGCGUGCGGGAUGACGGCCUUCGGGUUGUAAACCGCUUUCGCCUGUGACGAAGCGUGAGUGACGGUAAUGGGUAAAGAAGCACCGGCUAACUACGUG